UGGUUAUAUUGAUAUACGUGAUCUAUGUUGGUUCUAGUUACGCAAGAGUAACUAAGAGCUCUUAGAUCCUAUGUUGGUAUGAUUGAUGAACCGGAUUGUUCAUGACAAUUUUAUUAUGAUAGCAAUUCUGAGCUCAUAAGAUUAUAAUGUAACAUAUAAUGCUAAGGUUUGUACAUAUGUAUGAGUAUCUCGUCCAAGUGGGAGAUUGUUAGAUAUAUGG
rnacentral:lncRNA from 1 species